GCCAUGGUGGUGAAAUGGUUAAGUACUUGGCUGCUAACUGAAAGACUGGUAGUUCAAACCUACCCAGUGGCU
rfam:Loxodonta africana unplaced genomic scaffold scaffold_13, whole genome shotgun sequence.